rnacentral:lncRNA from 1 species
AUGUAAUUUGUUACAUAGCUAUAAUGAUUGUAACAUUUCCCUUCCUUAUAUCUCUUCUUCACUUUCCUACUGGUGUUUCCUGGGAUGGUUUUUAAUAUAAAUUAUAUGCUCUUGAAUUAUUUUUUAUUUUUAUUUUUUUUGAGACAGGGUCUCACUCCAGUUGCCCAGGCCGUGUGUGGCAUGAUCUCAUCUCACCGCAGCCUCAACCUCCGAAGCUCAGAAACACUGUUGUGAGUCGAGUCCCCUCCCUGUGCUGGGCACUAUGCUGGACAAUGCAGGCACAAGGUGGUGAUCUUGCCACCCUUCCCUCCAGGAAGGUCAGCACCCCUCCAGAGCAAGUGAAGAAGAAAGAUGGAAGGCAGUCUUUUUGUAACCCAAUCUCAGAAGUGACAUCCUAUCAUUGUUGCUGGAUUCUAUUAAUUAGAAGUGAGCCAAGUUCGCCCCACACUCGAGGAGAUUUGACAAAGGCAUGCAAACCAGGAGGUACAAUCUUAGGGCAGGAACCAUGGAAACAAGUGCGUUAACAGAUGUGUUUUUUUGGUGUGUGUGUAAGAUGUGUAAGUUUUUGUUGUUGAAUCAAUUGAUUCAGCAAUACGUAUUGAGAUGGAGUCUUGCCCUGUCACCCAGGCUGGAGUGCAGUGGUGCGAUCUUGGCCCACCGCAACAUCUGCCUCCUGGAUUCAAGUGAUUCCUCUGCCUCAGCCUCCUGAGUAGCUGGGACAACAAGUGUGUGCCACCACACCCAGCUAAUUUUUGUAGCUUUAGUAGAGACUAGAUUUCCUCAUGUUGGCCAGGCUGGUCUCGAACUCCUGACUUCAAGUGAUCCACCCUCCUCGGCCUCCCAAAGUGUUGGGAUUAUAGGCAUGAGCCACCAUACCCAACUGCAUUUUGACAAUAUUGUAUAAAACAACAUACAUAAAGCACUCAGCAAUGUUCAGUCACCUAGCAAGCACUUAAUGUGUGUUCCCUUCUCCUCUCACUGUGAAACAUAAGCUUCAAGUAAUCUCUCAUUAUUGUGAUAGCACUUCUCUAUAAUCUUCCCCUUUGUAAUCAAUUACUAAAAUGACCAUAUUAACUCUCUGAAGUUUUAGGUUAUACUUUUUAUCU